rnacentral:sRNA from 1 species
CUGCGUUAGGGGUAGAAGCGAUAUCCUUUUAUGUAGCGAAGCGAAAUAAAAGAUUUAGCGAAUAGCCCGAACUCGC